rnacentral:rRNA from 1 species
CCUACGGGAGGCAGCAGUGAGGAAUAUUGGUCAAUGGACGAGAGUCUGAACCAGCCAAGUAGCGUGAAGGAUGACUGCCCUCUGGGUUGUAAACUUCUUUUAUAUGGGAAUAAAACGUUCCACGUGUGGGAUUUUGUAUGUACCAUAUGAAUAAGGAUCGGCUAACUCCGUGCCAGCAGCCGCGGUAAUACGGAGGAUCCGAGCGUUAUCCGGAUUUAUUGGGUUUAAAGGGAGCGUAGGUGGAUUUUUAAGUCAGUUGUGAAAGUUUGCGGCUCAACCGUAAAAUUGCAGUUGAAACUGGCAGUCUUGAGUACAGUAGAGGUGGGCGGAAUUCGUGGUGUAGCGGUGAAAUGCUUAGAUAUAACGAAGAACUCCGAUUGCGAAGGCAGUUCACUGGACUGCAACUGACACUGAGGCUCGAAAGUGUGGGUAUCAAACAGGAUUAGAUACCCCAGUAGUC